ACGGGGUGCAGCAGGCGCGAAACCUUUACAAUGUGCGAAAGCAUGAUAAGGGAACUCCGAGUGCCAGUAUCUAAUACUGGCUGUCCUUGUGCCUAAAACGCACAAGAUAGCAAGGGCCGGGUAAGACCGGUGCCAGCCGCCGCGGUAACACCGGCGGCCCGAGUGGUAGCCGCUAUUAUUGGGUCUAAAGGGUCCGUAGCCGGUUCGAUAAGUCCUCUGGGAAAUCUGGUUGCUUAACAAUCAGACUGCCAAGGGAUACUGUCGAACUUGAGACCGGGAGAGGUAAGAGGUACUUCAGGGGUAGGAGUGAAAUCUUGUAAUCCCUGGGGGACCAUCUGUGGCGAAGGCGUCUUACCAGAACGGGUCUGACGGUGAGGGACGAAAGCUGGGGGCGCAAACCGGAUUAGAUACCCGGGUAGUCCCAGCCGUAAACGAUGCUCGCUAUGUGUCAGGUACGGUGUGACCGUAUCUGGUGCCGUAGGGAAGCCGUGAAGCGAGCCACCUGGAAGUACGUCGCAAGAC
rnacentral:rRNA from 1 species